GCCCUUUCCAUUCCCUCCUCUCUCUCACAACUCACAUCAACUUUAUCAGAUCAACUUUCUCCUUCCUUUCUCUCUCUUUCUCUCAGAUCUAGAUCGGAAGUGUUUGAACCACCGGUGGAGGAAACUAGGGUUUCGUCGUCCGUGAUGAAAGAUGUCUGGAGUGCUGAUGGUUUGAGAUGAAAUCAGAUGAUGAAAACACACAGGGUUGAACACCGAUUUGAAGAAACCCUAACUGAAGGUUUCGUCAGGUCAUAUCUGCUGUGGUUUCUUUCGGCUUUUCUUCUACAUCAACGAUUAGCAAACAAAAAGCUGCAGUUCAACCAGGGGAAAAUAUAUGUUGUAUGGUGGGUUGGAGAGGUGGGGAGUCAACUGAUGAUGGUGAAACUACAUAGGGUCAAGUACCCUGUGUUAUUGGGAUUCUAAUGGGGCCUCUGGUGUGGAAGAAGAAGUUACAAAAGUAAUAAUAAGAGCAUUCCUGGAUGAGAAAGUGAGAUUUUUUUACAUGUUUGGUUUAUUUUCUAUCGAUGAACACUAUGACAUGUGAUGAUUUUUUUGGUUCAGGCCUUGGCUAACACAAUUAAUCACACACAACUCUUGAAUAAAAGAAAACAAACCAGAAGAGAAUUUUGCUAAUGAAAUAAAAUAGUAUGCGAGAUAGAAGACAAAAUGCUUUCUGGUUACUUUAUUGAUUAUCCAACAGAUUAUAGCCCAUUUGCUUAGGAAUGGGUCGAUUUGGGUUGUGUUCUAUCGAUGAACGCACUUUCUGUUUGAUUGAUUCAUUUAUCUGUCUGCGUGAUUUCUCGAAUGUUCUCUUUUAGAUGUUUGUAGAACCUUGUGAUUUGUUUUAAGAUGCAACUAAGCCUAUGAUUUGAAAAUUUCAGUAGUCAGAUGAACCUAUUACCAGCUUAUUCAUGUGGAUUCUGAAGUUAAUGUAUCUCUUUCGGCUGUUUGGAUGAACCGUUUCAUCUGUUUUAAGAUGCAAUUUUAGCUGAUGAUUUAAAAUUUGAUGCAUUUCAAACUGUGAGAUUUAGUUAACUCCGUGAAUCAUUUGGUAGUAUGUUCAUCUGACUACUGUUGUUUGCAUCAAUUAAUUUUGAUUUUGAAGUUUAUAUCUAUCGUCAUAGUUUUCAAAUAGUUCUGGAUUCCCUAAACGAAAAAUGAAUCUGAUUUGAGAAUGUGAUAUUAUUUUUUGAAUAUGCAAAUACCUGUUUGUCUAAUAUUUGCAUUCAAAGUAUCUACAUAAAGGCUGCAAUGGAUGUGUAGUCAGUAGUAAUUAGGUAUGGUAUAACACUAGAACCCAACAGGAUGUGUAGUCAGUAGUCAUUAAGCUCUCUUUUUCAUUUGUAUUUUAUGUUUUUAUCAUUGUAAGAUAAACAUAAUAUGAAUAAAUUCAUUUAUAACAAUUGUUGGCUCUAUGUGUUCUUUACGGGUCUGACAUGGCAGCCACAUCAGCAAGUGCGUUCUCAAUCAGAUCAACCAUAUCCCAUGGCUCGAAAGCUAGCCCGCUUUCACAGUCGAAGACAUGUGGCAUGAAUAUCAGUUUCAACUCUCAAAACAAUAUCAAGAGUUUCACAGGCCUCACGUCAUCCUUCUUAGCCAAGGAAAGCACUCCAGCUCCUCGAUGACAUAUCUAUCCAUUAAGCUCUCUUUUUUUUUGUUUUGUUUAUUUGUUUUUAUGACAUAUCUAUCCAUUUUGGUGCUAAAUGGGUCAAAACGUAUAUAUGUUUUUUAGUGCGGGUCGAAAUGGGUCGGGCUGUAUACACUUUUUGAAUAAGUUUUAGUCGUUAAAAUACAAUUUUGACCCAAAACUCUGUUAUUAAAAAAGUUUUAACUUUUUUUAUAAAGAGUAAAUUACGAUUUUGGCCCCUGUUGUUAUAUUACUUUUACUCUUUUAGCCCAAAAAAGAAAUUUUAACAUCUAAGCCCCCAACGUCUUUUUUUCUAACCUUUUUCAAACUGUUUGAAUAUAUAUUUAUGAUGUAAUAGAAUUAGUUAAACUGGUUUUAAGCAUGAUGCAGGAGGUUGUUGAUCUGGCAAACGUUGAUCGUGCUACUCUUUGGCAUCAGCUGUGUGCCAGUGAAGAUGAAGUUAUAUGCCUUCGUGAAGAAACCAAAGCUGAAGUUUGUAGUAUGGCUAAAGAGAAGGCUGUUCUGGUUCAAAAACUGAGCGAUGCUGAGGCCACUAAUAGUCGUCUUAAGGUUGAUAUGAAGGCUGAAAUGGAUCGAUUUGCUUUAGAGAGAAAGGAAGUGUCUGAACAAAUGCAAGAACUUGAAAGUCAACUUGAAUGGCUUCGCUCAGAACGAGAUGAUGAAAUUGCUAAGCUUACCACUUGAAAAAAAAUGGCUUUGCUCCGAUAAAGCAAGGCGUUGCCUGCAUUUUCUAAAGUUAUUUAACUUUUUUUUGUGUUAAUUUUAGGUGGAUGGUGACAUAACGACCACCAUUAAGUUUGUCGAUUCUCUAAAGAUCCCAUGUAUGCUUCAACUUCUCAUAAACUUAACAACUCAUGGUCAAGGCAAAGAGAUAACUGAUGCUGAUAUUCUACAAUGGGCCAACAUGAAAGUCAAACUGACAGUCAAGGAAAAGACAAAUGGAUAGCUUCAAGUGAUUGCCUCAGAUGGUGUUUUCUUCCUUGAGCUUCUUAGGGCGGUGAAAAAGAGGGUUGUGAACUGGGGUCUUGUUACCAAAGGCGAGAGUGAGGAGUAUAAGAAGUUAAAUGCAACAUAUAUAAUUAGCGUUGCAAGAAAGCUUAGAUGUUUCAUCUUUUUAUUGCCUGAGGACAUUCUUGAGGUUAACCCGAAGAUGAUUCUGAUCUUAACAGCAAGCAUCAUGUACUGCCACAGCAAGCAUCAUGUGUGUGACACGAAUUUUCGAGUUCAUGUCAUGUAAAAUAUGUAGGUUUGUGCCAGGUUUGACUCGCGUACCCUCGAACGCGACCCAAUUAGUCAGCUCUACUUCCUACUACCAUCUACUACCAUCAGUAUGGUUGCACUUUAUAGGCUAUGUUUUAUUGCCUGAAUAUAGUUAGACUGAAUAUAUAAUGGAAACCAAAGUGAGUCAACUAAACAAAUCAGUAGUUUUCAAAAGUCUAAACGUGAUGUCUAUUUUGGAAAAAAGUUGGUCAAAGAUGUAUAUUUAGUUAUUUUACCUGUGUAUUUGGUAAUAUCAGUAAAUUACGGUUAUACCCUUGUAUUUUAGGUGGACAUUGACUUUGAGAAGGAACCGAUUGGGACUACAAAAGAAGGAAGCAGUGUGUACUUUAAGGAUGUUUGGCCAAGUAACGAAGAAAUUGCCGAGGUUGUUCAAUCAAGUGUGUUGCCUGAUAUGUUCAAUAGCAGUAGUGACAUUGAUCACAAUCGGAUAAAUUUUUUUUGCUGCAUUUGGGACUACAAAAGCAUCCUAAUUGCCAGUGAUGAUUUAUCUCCCAGAUUAUGUUGAGAACAAAAUUGUUCCUGGGCAUUUUUAUAAAAGCAAAUUUAUUUAGUUUUACCUAUUUCAUUUCCUAUAGAUGAAAUAUAACGCAGAUCGACUCAGUCAUAAAGUAAGUGGGUCAAAACCGAUAUUGGUUGGUUAAAUUUUUGACAAUUCUUUAUAAACAUCCAGGGCUUAAA